AGUUUGAUCAUGGCUCAGAACGAACGCUGGCGGCAGGCCUAACACAUGCAAGUCGAGCGCCCAGCAAUGGGAGCGGCGGACGGGUGAGUAACGCGUGGGAAUUUUUCCUGGAGUACGGAACAACCGAGGGAAACUUCGGCUAAUACCGUAUGAUGCCGAGAGGCCAAAGAUUUAUCGCUCUGGGGUGAGCCCGCGUCAGAUUAGGUAGUUGGUGGGGUAAUGGCCUACCAAGCCUGCGAUCUGUAGCUGGUCUGAGAGGACGAUCAGCCACACUGGGACUGAGACACGGCCCAGACUCCUACGGGAGGCAGCAGUGGGGAAUCUUGCGCAAUGGGCGAAAGCCUGACGCAGCCAUGCCGCGUGAGUGAAGAAGGUCUUAGGAUUGUAAAGCUCUUUCGCUCGUGACGAUGAUGACGGUAACGAGAGAAGAAGCCCCGGCUAACUUCGUGCCAGCAGCCGCGGUAAUACGAAGGGGGCUAGCGUUGUUCGGAAUUACUGGGCGUAAAGCGCGCGUAGGCGGUUUUGCA
rnacentral:rRNA from 1 species